AACGAACGCUGGCGGCAUGCCUAACACAUGCAAGUCGAACGAGACCUUCGGGUCUAGUGGCGCACGGGUGCGUAACGCGUGGGAACCUGCCCUUAGGUUCGGAAUAACUCCCCGAAAGGGGUGCUAAUACCGGAUAAUGUCUUCGGACCAAAGAUUUAUCGCCUUUGGAUGGGCCCGCGUUGGAUUAGCUAGUUGGUAGGGUAAAAGCCUACCAAGGCGACGAUCCAUAGCUGGUCUGAGAGGAUGAUCAGCCACACUGGGACUGAGACACGGCCCAGACUCCCGGGGGAGGGAGGAGUGGGGAAUAUUGGACAAUGGGCGAAAGCCUGAUCCAGCAAUGCCGCGUGAGUGAUGAAGGCCUUAGGGUUGUAAAGCUCUUUUACCCGGGAUGAUAAUGACAGUACCGGGAGAAUAAGCUCCGGCUAACUCCGUG
rnacentral:rRNA from 1 species